GAUGAACGCUGGCGGUAUGCUUAACACAUGCAAGUCGAACGGUCACUUCGGUGAUAGUGGCGGACGGGUGAGUAACGCGUGAGAAUCUGUCUUCAGGUCGGGGACAACAGUUAGAAAUGACUGCUAGUACCGGAUGUGCCUUUGGGUGAAAGAUUUAUUGCCUGAAAAAGAGCUCGCGUCAGAUUAGCUAGUAGGUGGUGUAAGAGACUACCUAGGCUCCGAUCUGUAGCUGGUCUGAGAGGACGAUCAGCCACACUGGAACUGAGACACGGUCCAGACUCCUACGGGAGGCAGCAGUGGGGAAUUUUCCGCAAUGGGCGAAAGCCUGACGGAGCAAUACCGCGUGAGGGACGAAGGCUUUUGGGUCGUAAACCUCUUUUCUCAAGGAAGAUGAUGACGGUACUUGAGGAAUAAGCAUCGGCUAACCCUGUG
rnacentral:rRNA from 1 species